GGCUUAUUGAAAAUAAUUUUAGGUUUGGCCUGCCCAAUGAAAAAUUAAAUGGCUGCAGUAUUUUAACUGUACAAAGGUAGCAUAAUCAUUUGUUUUUUAAUUGAAAGCUUGAAUGAAGGGUUUGAUGAAAAAGUUUCUGUCUCUUUGGAAAUUAAAUAGAAUUUUAUUUUUAAGUGAAAAAGCUUAAAUUUGAAUAGAAGACGAGAAGACCCUAUAGAGUUUUAUAUUUGUUUAAGAAAUUUGAUGUUAGGAAUUUUACGUUUUCUUGUUUAAGCAAGUAUUUUGUUGGGGUGAUGAAAAAAUUAAAUUAACUUUUUUAAUAAAGUCCAUUAAUUUGUGAAUAAGGGAUCCUAAUUUUUAGAUUACAAAAUUAAAUUACCUUAGGGAUAACAGCGUAAUUUUUUCUAGAGUUCUUAUCGAAGAGAAAGAUUGCGACCUCGAUGUUGGAUUAAAAUUAAUUAUUGGUGAAGGUGCUAAUACAUUAGGUCUGUUCGACCUUUAAAAUUUUACAUGAUCUGAGUUUAAACCGGUGUGAG
rnacentral:rRNA from 1 species